GGGCUGGGAUCUGUGAGCCCAAAAAAGCAACGUUCCACCAAAGUCAAGGGAGGCUGGAAUGUCAAAUUGGAGGUGUCUAGGAGUGUCAAAUAUUGCAGAAGGUGUUAAAAAGGACCGAAAAGUGUCUGCUGAGAUUUGCCAUCCAGAAGGGCAUUGUGAGAGCAGCGAUGAUGAUGUCUGCAAUGUGCUUGGCCCUUCAUAUGUGUCUGAUCCAGUUUACUUUCGGGGACAUCCGUCAUCACCAUUGGAAUCCAGACACACACCAUGAAACAUCAACAGACUGAGGCCAACAAAGGUGAAGACACUUGCCUAAAUAACACAGCUUAUUUGCAGAAGAGCUAACAAGCGUUGAGUCGAUACUAUUUUAGCUAUAUUGUGUGACUUUUUGUACCAGAGAACUUGCAAAAAUCAUCAGGGCCAGAUGGCCUGCAAGAUAUUGGAUCAUUAGGACAUAAAAAUUAGGUAAAAUCAAGAACGUCGGUGCUCACCCAGUAUGAGGAUCAUACGAAUUGGUGGUUGGAAAAGCAUUGAAAUGUCACUGACUUUGACUGUCAGAUGUGUGCGGUCAGGCAGGCAUGUGUUUCUCGGAUGCUCAUUGUAGCUCUUGCUUAUCCAUUUUUAUUACCUGAUCCAGGUGGGUGUGUAAUGCUACAGGUAAUGAACCCAGUGAACUCAAGAUCUGCCUCCUCCAAGUGUGGUCAAAUUCAAUAAUUUAGGAUUAAGACAAUUAUUUAUAAUUAAAAUCCCGAAGUAAAUAUUUACUAAGCACCUCCUAAAUUCAGAACUGACACCUGUUGUUCGGGUGGACAGUCAGGGUCUUCGAAGCAAUUCACACACCACAUUCCAUGUUCUUCAGUGACUCACAAGGAAGUUGGCAUUAUUGUGUGUGGAACAGCAGCAGAGCUUACUAACAUUCUCAGCUACAAAACAAAAAAUAACGAACCAGAGACUUCAGCUCAGUUCUUGUGAUUGGAGUUGUGUUUCCUCCAGAGCGAUGAGCAUGGUAUAAGACGCCUCGCCCUGCACCCCAUCACGGCUCUCCCCAGACAGCCCUGACAGAGGGACAGGGAGGAGUCUCAUUUUGCAUCAAGAGCUUUCCAUGGGUCAUCUUAUUUCACCCUGCACGAUGCUGUGUGGUCUCAUCACCACUGAACACACAAGACCCUGAGACUCUGAGAGGUAGACACUGCACUCUACAGCUGCGAUUCACACCUGGAUCUGCUGGCUCAAGGUCUGCACUCUUUCCACUGCACCACAGUAACCCACAUGAAUCAGCAAUGAAAAGGCAAGACGGAGUAAGCUUCAAGCACUGAUGACCAUCUGUUUUAGCCCAAGUUGCCUAUGAAACAGAGCGUUAUGCAGAAGCUGAAGUACUAAUGCCUUAUUAGAGGAUGCAAGCCCAGGGAAGCAAGAGUGAGAGGUCCUGGGGACUUUUUCUUCUUGUGUCUGUACCUCAUCAGUUAAUUCUGGCUCCAUACAGAGUGCAAAAAUAUCUACUCGCUGCUCUAGGAUCCCCUACUGUUAAUCAUAGAAAGCCAAUCGCCGGGUAUGAACUUGCAGAAAGCACAAUCUUUAGGAACUGAGUGCUCCUUAAUGCCUUUUCACAGAAGGAAUUAUUUCCCUCCAGUUGCCCCUGUGGUUUGUUUGCCAUGGUGUCCUCACCUAAGCAUUUGAGGAAUAAAACAAAAGUGAAUG